rnacentral:rRNA from 1 species
AGAUUCAUACUCGUACCUUUUGCAUCAUGAGUUAGCCAGAAAAUCUCAAGCAAAGAGCACUUUAGUUUGAUUCCCCGAAACUACGUGAGCUACUUCAAGACAGCCUAAAAUAGGGCGAACCCAUCUCUGUAGCAAAAGAGUGGGAUGAGCUUCGAGUAGCGGUGACAGACCUAUCGAACCUAGUUAUAGCUGGUUGCCUGAGAAAUGAAUAGAAGUUCAGCCUUUCGAGUUCUCCCCUCAACCCCGUCUUCACCCCCGGACAACCAAAGAAAUCGAAAGAGUUAGUUAAAGGGGGUACAGCCCCUUUAACACAAGAUACAACUUUCCCAGGAGGGUAGAGAUCACAUUCAAAUUCCAAGGUAAAAUGUUUGGGUGGGCCUAAGAGCAGCCACCCCUAUAGAAUGCGUUAAAGCUCAAAUAUAAUUACCACCCCUAAUCCUGACAACCCCAUCUUAACCCCCUAACCUUACCAGGCCGUCCCAUGCAACCAUGGGAGCGACCAUGCUAAUAUGAGUAAUAAGAGGGCAAAUCCGCCUCUCUCCACGCACAAGUGUAACUCG